CCUACGGGAGGCAGCAGUGGGGAAUUUUGGACAAUGGGCGAAAGCCUGAUCCAGCAAUGCCGCGUGAGUGAAGAAGGCCUUCGGGUUGUAAAGCUCUUUUGUCAGGGAAGAAACGGUGAAGGCUAAUAUCCUUUGCUAAUGACGGUACCUGAAGAAUAAGCACCGGCUAACUACGUGCCAGCAGCCGCGGUAAUACGUAGGGUGCAAGCGUUAAUCGGAAUUACUGGGCGUAAAGCGUGCGCAGGCGGUUUUGUAAGUCUGAUGUGAAAUCCCCGGGCUCAACCUGGGAAUUGCAUUGGAGACUGCAAGGCUAGAAUCUGGCAGAGGGGGGUAGAAUUCCACGUGUAGCAGUGAAAUGCGUAGAUAUGUGGAGGAACACCGAUGGCGAAGGCAGCCCCCUGGGUCAAGAUUGACGCUCAUGCACGAAAGCGUGGGGAGCAAACAGGAUUAGAUACCCUGGUAGUCCACGCCCUAAACGAUGUCUACUAGUUGUCGGGUCUUAAUUGACUUGGUAACGCAGCUAACGCGUGAAGUAGACCGCCUGGGGAGUACGGUCGCAAGAUUAAAACUCAAAUGAAUUGACGG
rnacentral:rRNA from 1 species